CUAGCAAGUCCAACCUUACAAAAAGAAUUUAGCAAGAAACCCCGAAACCAAACGAGCUACCAUAAGACAGUACUUAGUUCUGUGGCAAAAGGACCAAAAGAUUUUAUGGUAGAGGCAAAAAACCUAACGAGCUUGGAGAUAGCUGGUUGCUUGAAAAAGAAUUUUAGUUCGCACAAAAACAUUAUUACCACAAUGGAGAGUUUUACUUUUUGUAUUAAUUAACUGAGUUACAGCCCAGUUCAUAAGGGAAACAACCCAAAUUAAUGACUAACGAUUAUGCUUUUUAAGAAUAUGAGCUCAGUAGGCCUAAAAGCAGCCAUCAAAUAAUAGCGUUAAAGCUUGACUCAAAAAACCAUCAAUUAUUUCACUAAACAAUCCUAUUUCAGUAGAAAAAUCAAGCUAAUCUAUUUUUAGAUGAACUACUACUAGAAUUAGUAAUAAGAACUUAUUCUCUAUAAUAUAAGUAUAUAUCAGAACGAACUAAUCGCUGAUAAUUAAUGAAACAUUUACAAAAACAAGAAUUUGAUAUUUAAAAACAUUAACCCAACACAGGAGUAUUUAAGAAAGACUUAAAGCCUAGAAAGGAACUCGG
rnacentral:rRNA from 1 species